GACGUAGGGCGCGAGCGUUGUCCGGAUUUAUUGGGCGUAAAGAGCUCGUAGGCGGCUUGUCGCGUCGACUGUGAAAACUCGGGGCUCAACUCCGAGCUUGCGGUCGAUACGGGCAGGCUAGAGUUCGGUAGGGGAGACUGGAAUUCCUGGUGUAGCGGUGAAAUGCGCAGAUAUCAGGAGGAACACCGGUGGCGAAGGCGGGUCUCUGGGCCGAUACUGACGCUGAGGAGCGAAAGCGUGGGGAGCGAACAGG
rnacentral:rRNA from 1 species